GGAAUUACUGCAGAGUCUGACCUGCAGACGCUACCAAUUACUGGAGUAAAUAGAGCUGUACAUGGUAAUCAUUUCUCUGCCUUGCUCGUGGGCAUUCUGGCAGGAAAGAUGAAGAGGCAGAUGACGAUUGUAGACUCAUCAGGUGGGACUUUUCUGACACGGGCCGACUUAAAAUCUCAAAAAUACCAAAUGAGUGAGUGAGAAGUGCUUUCGAUUGUGAUUCAUUUUUGCAUGAAAAUUGAAGCGUUUGAGAUGAUUUCUCAGAGUCUAGGCUUCUUGGCACGCUCUUUCCUUUUCCUCUGAAGUUUUAUUUCUUUUGUCCCAGUCAUGCAAAGCUGAUGUCCUCUUUAUCCACCUGAGCAUCAAGAGGAUUCAGAUCUGAUGUCUCAUUUCUGCAAUAAUCCAAAUACAAAUGCCUCAUCCAGAGCCUGUUUUGAAAACUGCAUCAAUAUUAAAGAAGCACAAACACAAAGCUAAUCAUUUGUUCUCGACCAGCUGCUGCCCAGAUACAACCUGAGGCUAUUUUUAGCUCUUUUUUCCCUCGCUGUGCCGUGACAGAGAGGAGAGCCAGCCGCCCUGAGGAAGCGACUUGGCAGGAUCUGUUGAGUCAAGGUGAUGACGGCUCUUUGUGUCCUCCUGAGAUCGAGAUCAGGGACCUUUCUGAGCCAGAGCAAGGUGUUCAUAUUAACCUGAAACACAUCAGGGAGCAAACAGAGACACUAAAGAAAUCCGUUUCUGGAAAUAAAACUUCAGAUUUCCCAAACAACUCGUGUCUCAUGUUUGACGUUAGUGACUGAUGUUCUCUUUGAUUGAUUUUGUGGUCAGACGCAGCAUCAUGCAGGAUUUCACAUGACUGAAGUGUCUUUGGUUUCAAAAAAUGGAAAAAUUUACUUUAAUUUUAAACAUCUCCUGGAAAUGGAAAACUUCUUUCAGGGAAUGAUUCAUCAAGUUCCUUUGUCCGUUACAAGGCCAGAGUUUGUUUUCGUGGUUGGAGAGCUGAGUAACCCCAGUUUUAAAGCCUUCAUUGACUGAGAUAGAGAAGCUUUGUUCACAGUAUAAAGUCACCUUGUGUUGGUCUGAUUCAUACACAUUCGAAUUCUCCGCUGUUGAAACAAAAACCUCAAAAAUCCAAAAAGUUAAUUUUUUAUGGAUUUCAAUGUCAGUGCACUUGUCAGGAGUUACAGUCUAUUUCCUGUUUUUCUUCUUCUAUCUUUUCAUGACAGACGGAGAGAAAAACUGAAACAAGAGAUUGUCCAAAAAAAUAAUUUGAGUUGAGCACUUUUGUCUUCUUUAGACCCCUUGGAUGGAUCUGGACUCCCGAGUUUGAGAAGUACGCUCCUUCAGGAUUCAGGAGUAGAAACCUGACAGAAAACAUCCAAAAUCUAAAAUGAGCUUCAAUUCAGAAUCAGAAUUUCUUUGUAAAAUCUUCAGAUAAAAUACCGAAACCUGAGCCAAAGCCCCAGACUACCAACAUGUUUUGUUUUUGCCGUCAGGGCUGUCUGAGUUUUUAUCGAAAGCAGCUUCAGUCUCUAUUCUUCUAAAACAGAAACCUGCAGACUCUUUGCCCUGCAAGGAGAACUGCUGGAGACCGCCGAGCCAACCGACUAAACUGCAAAGUGCAACAGAGCUGCAGCAGAACAGGUCACGAGUUAAAGAUGAGCCUGACUCGGUUUUAGAAAUCCCCACCAGACAACUUCGCUUCGACCUCCUGCACGACCACAAUCGAGACCACCUGAGUCAAAUCUGAGUCAGACUAAAGAUUACAGAGAGUCAUGUUAUUGGCAGGAUGCUUCAGACUGAACGGCUGCAUGCCUCUUACUCUGUUUUUGGGUUGAGGAAUUAUCUGUCACUAUUUUGAAACACAAAUGAUGAUUAAAAACACAACAGGCUGCAUGUUUCAACAAAGCAUUUCCAGUGAAGCGCUCCUACAGAGUCGACACCGCUUUAGGGUUUCUUUUGUGCAGAAUUGGACAAGAUACCUUUGGUUGUGUUUGAGGGUUAUCGCUCAAAUCUUCUCUUGAAUCAUAAAAGAAAUGUGUUUAAGUCCACCGUCACCUUGGAAAUGUGUCUUUGGUUUUGGUUUUCCAGUAGUGUUAACAGUAUCAGUGUGCAGAGAAAAGCCCUGCAGUGUGAAGCGGGUGCAGCAGACUAAGAUAUAUCGGAGCAGACAGCUGUCAUGGCCGGUCUAGCAUCACCCCACUGGCUGCAUUCAUACAGCCUGCCUCUGUUUACACAGGAAAAGUGAGGAAGCUGUAACGUUACCUGUCAGGAAAAACUCUGCCCUGUUUGUGUAUCAGUGGACAUUGACCUGAUUUUAUGAGCUUCAUUAACGGUUGAUAUCUGUUUCAGUGCGGGGCAGAGUUUGGAGGGAGGCCACGCUGUAGAGAUUAUGAUUCAGAGGUUGGAACCACUCAGGACAUGAUUACAGGUGAGUUUAUUUCUGUAAAACACAGGAGAGACUUAAAUGUUAGUUUAAGUCUUCCAACCAAUCCCAGCUGAUCAUUUCUUUCCUUGCGGGAGCUCUUUGAUAUCACAAACACCAAAUAUUACCGUAGUGUUUUCAUAAAUUCCUAAUCCUGGGGUUCCUCAGGGAACCGUCCCGGGUCCCCCUACGGUUUUGUUCAGUAAAACCUUCAAGGUUUCUUUGGGGUCUUUCACAUCCCUCAGUGCGCAGGCAUGAAAAUGUGUUUUAAAACAUCUUAAGCACAUUACAGGCGUGUUACACACCAUUCUGUUUCUAUAAUCACAUUUAGAAAAACGACAUGCAUCAUUAUCAAGGGAGGAAAUUAACAUUUUCAUCCACCGGCCACAAUGGUUUGUGCCUUCCAAAUAUUUGCCUCAGCGUCUCAGCAGCCAAAUGUGAUUCUGAAAAAUGCAAAAGGAGUCUGAGCAGAACGGGAGGUUACCCCAGUGUGUAGCGCUGCAGGCUGGUGGUGUUUCUCUUCAGCACAGAUUAGUGAUUUUAGGCGGAGCACUUUUACUUUUAUUGACUCCUUUCAUAUGAUCUAGAGGAAGGAUUAGAGAUAAGUUGAUAUGAGAUGGCAGAGGAUUACAUCAAAUCAAUAAAAACCACAAACAAGACAACAACCUCUUCAUGACAUUAAGAGCUGGUAUCUGCUGUAAAAACACCCUCAUAAUGUAGAUGAGAGGGCGCAGACAGUGAGCCUAUAAUGGACAUGCAUUAUUAAUCAUUAAAAAUCAAUGAGAGCAGACUGACUCCGAGCAGCAGUGUAGGUCUAUGAUGUGCUUAAUGAUGGAUUAUGAGGAUAAUUACCAUGAGAUGAGAAAGCAGAGGAUACAGCUCUACAAAGUGAAGUGUCACUAAUUACAGCAAAAUCUCUGUUUCCCAGACGCACCAACAUCUGGGGCCUCCGAC